rnacentral:rRNA from 1 species
AUACGGAGGGUGCAAGCGUUAUUCGGAAUCACUGGGCGUAAAGGGUGCGUAGGCGGUUUGAUAAGUCUGAUGUGAAAUCCUAUGGCUCAACCAUAGAACUGCAUUGGAAACUGUCAAACUAGAAUACUGAAGGGGCAGAUGGAAUUAGUGGUGUAGGGGUAAAAUCCGUAGAUAUCACUAGGAAUACCGAAAGCGAAAGCGAUCUGCUGGGAAGUUAUUGACGCUGAGGCACGAAAGCGUGGGGAGCAAACGGGAUUAGAAACCCCAGUAGUCC